rnacentral:rRNA from 1 species
GUAGGUGGCAAGCGUUGUCCGGAAUUAUUGGGCGUAAAGCGCGCGCAGGCGGUUCUUUAAGUCUGAUGUGAAAGCCCACGGCUCAACCGUGGAGGGUCAUCGGAAACUGGAGAACUUGAGUACAGAAGAGGAAAGCGGAAUUCCACGUGUAGCGGUGAAAUGCGUAGAGAUGUGGAGGAACACCAGUGGCGAAGGCGGCUUUCUGGUCUGUAACUGACGCUGAGGCGCGAAAGCGUGGGGAGCAAACAGGAUUAGAUACCCUGGUAGUCCACGCCGUAAACGAUGAGUGCUAAGUGUUAGGGGGGUUUUCCGCCCCCCUUAGUGCUGCAGCUAACGCAUUAAGCACUCCGCCUGGGAGUACGGCCGCAAGGCUG